AUGGAUGGAGCAGACGUCACCUUUCACGUUGGCGGGCAGAAAUUUUCAGCGCAUAGGUCCGUGCUCGCUGCUCGGUCCUCCGUCUUCAAGGCAGAGCUCUUCGGCUCCAUGAUGGAGAAUGCCGGUGAUCCGGUUGAGAUCGGCGAUAUGGAGAGCGACGUGUUUAAGUCAUUGCUGCAUUUCAUAUACACUGACGACUCACCGCCAGUGGCGAAGCCAGUGGAAAAAGAGAUGGCCCGUGAAGACGUGGUGAUGGCUGGCCAUUUACUCGUUGCGGCUGACAGGUGAAAUGUUGAGAGGUUGAAACUGAUAUGCAAGGAUAAGUUGUGCACACACAUUGACUCCGACAACGUGGCGACUAGCUUAGAUUUAGCUGAACAACAUAGUUGCCCUGGACUAAAGGAAGCCUGCUUUGAGUUCCUUGCCUCUCCUUCCAAUUUUGAGGCUACGGUGGCAAGUGAUGGUUAUGAGCAUCUGAAGAGCAGUUGCCCGUCCGCUCUCAAGGAGCUGAUUGCUAGAUUCUUACCCGCUGAGCUAAAAGCGGCCAAGGAUAUCAUCAUGAAAUUCUUAGUACCCCACAGCGUGUGA
rnacentral:rRNA from 1 species